CGUAGAGAAAUCGAGUCUUAAUAGGGCGUUUAGUUGCUGGGUAUAGACCCGAAACCAGGCGAUCUAUCCAUGAGCAGGUUGAAGGUUGGGUAACACUAACUGGAGGACCGAACCCACUGUCGUUGAAAAGCCAGGGGAUGACUUGUGGAUAGGGGUGAAAGGCUAAUCAAGCCUGGUGAUAGCUGGUUCUCCCCGAAAGCUAUUUAGGUAGCGCCUCGGACGAAUACCAUAGGGGGUAGAGCACUGUUUCGGCUAGGGGGUCAUCCCGACUUACCAAACCGAUGCAAACUCCGAAUACCUAUGAGUACUAUCCGGGAGACAGACUGCGGGUGCUAACGUCCGUAGUCAAGAGGAAAACAAUCCAGACCGCCAGCUAAGGCCCCAAAAUCAUAGUUAAGUGGGAAACGAUGUGGGAAGGCAUAGACAGCUAGGAGGUUGGCUUAGAAGCAGCCACCCUUUAAAGAAAGCGUAAUAGCUCACUAGUCGAGUCGGCCUGCGCGGAAGAUGUAACGGGGCUAAAACUAUG
rnacentral:rRNA from 1 species